UACGUAGGGGGCGAGCGUUGUCCGGAAUUAUUGGGCGUAAAGAGCGUGUAGGCGGCCAGAUAAGUCCGCUGUGAAAUCUCGAGGCUCAACUUCGAGCUGUCGGUGGAAACUAUCUGGCUAGAGUCCGGAAGAGGAGAAUGGAAUUCCUGGUGUAGCGGUGAAAUGCGCAGAUAUCAGGAAGAACACCCGUGGCGAAGGCGGUUCUCUGGGACGGUACUGACGCUGAGACGCGAAAGCGUGGGGAGCGAACAGG
rnacentral:rRNA from 1 species